ACAUCUGUUUAGUAUUUAUGUGCUGCUGACUGGAUCUGAAGUGUUACAUCACCACUGUCAAGAUGAAGAAUACACUCUGCUUACUGCUGCUCUCAUUCAGCCUACAACGCAUAAAAUGUCAAAGUAUGGAGUCCAUUGAAAGCACAACUGUGAAGAAGCCUGGAGAAACUCUGACUCUGUCCUGUAGAGGAUCUGGGUUCAGCUUUGGCUGCUGUAGCAUGCACUGGAUCAGACAACAAGCUGGAAAACCCCUUGUGUGGAUGGGCGGCAGUGGCUAUGGCUACUCUGAAUCCUUCAAAGGUCGAACUGAAAUCACCAGAGAUAAUUCAAAGAGUAUGGUGUAUCUGAAACUAUCAGGCCUGACAGCAGAAGACUCAGCCGUGUAUUAUUGUGCAAGAGACUCACUGUGACACAAAGGUCUUGUACAGCUGAACAAAAACCACACUGACUGUUUUCUCUGAUGUCACUAGAGUUCAACAGAUGGCAGCAGAGAAUAAAAAAUCUAUAAAACACAGCCUGAUGAAAAUAUGCUGUUAAAUAUGCAGUGAAGUUCACUAUAAAAGCUUAAACAUGACAGCACAAAGGCUCUGACUCCUUUAACACAAUGUGUGUGUUUUUCUAUGUGUAGAUUUGUGUUAGUGGUUAAAUAUUUUAC